rnacentral:rRNA from 1 species
UCGAUUUGGAGUUUGUUGCCUAGAGUGAUGGGCUCCGAAGCUAACGCGAUAAAUCGACCGCCUGGGGAGUACGGCCGCAAGGUUAAAACUCAAAUGAAUUGACGGGGGCCCGCACAAGCGGUGGAGCAUGUGGUUUAAUUCGAUGCAACGCGAAGAACCUUACCUGGUCUUGACAUCCACAGAAUCUUGCAGAGAUGUGAGAGUGCCUUCGGGAAUUGUGAGACAGGUGCUGCAUGGCUGUCGUCAGCUCGUGUUGUGAAAUGUUGGGUUAAGUCCCGCAACGAGCGCAACCCUUAUCCUUUGUUGCCAUCGGUUAGGCCGGGAACUCAAAGGAGACUGCCGUUGAUAAAGCGGAGGAAGGUGGGGACGACGUCAAGUCAUCAUGGCCCUUACGACCAGGGCUACACACGUGCUACAAUGGCGUAUACAAAGGGAGGCGACCUCGCGAGACCAAGCGGACCUCAUAAAGUACGUCUAAGUCCGGAUUGGAGUCUGCAACUCGACUCCAUGAAGUCGGAAUCGCUAGUAAUCGGGAAUCAGAAUGUCACGGUGAAUACGUUCCCGGGCCU